rnacentral:rRNA from 1 species
CCUACGGGCGGCAGCAGUGGGGAAUAUUGGGCAAUGGGCGCAAGCCUGACCCAGCAACGCCGCGUGAAGGAAGAAGGCUUUCGGGUUGUAAACUUCUUUUGUCAGGGACGAAGCAAGUGACGGUACCUGACGAAUAAGCCACGGCUAACUACGUGCCAGCAGCCGCGGUAAUACGUAGGUGGCAAUCGUUAUCCGGAUUUACUGGGUGUAGAGGGGGUGUAGGCGGGAAUGCAAGGCAGAAGUGAAAACUCUGGGCCCAACCCCUGGCCUGCAUUUGAAACUGUGUGUCUUGAGUGCAGGAGGGGCAAGCGGAAUUCCGGGUGUAGCGGUGAAAUGCGUAGAUAUAAGGAGGAACACCAGUGGCGAAGGCGGAUUGCUGGACAGUAACUGACGCUGAGGCGCGAAAGCGUGGGGAGCAAACAAGAUUAGAUACCCUAGUAGUC